rnacentral:rRNA from 1 species
CGGUAACAGCUCAAAUUUGAAAUCUGGCUCUUUCAGGGUCCGAGUUGUAAUUUGUAGAAGAUGCUUUGGGCAUUGCUCCGGUCUAAGUUCCUUGGAACAGGACGUCAUAGAGGGUGAGAAUCCCGUAUGUGACUGGUGGCAUUUGUCCGUGUAAAGCUCUUUCGACGAGUCGAGUUGUUUGGGAAUGCAGCUCAAAAUGGGUGGUAUAUUUCAUCUAAAGCUAAAUAUUGGCCAGAGACCGAUAGCGCACAAGUAGAGUGAUCGAAAGAUGAAAAGCACUUUGGAAAGAGAGUUAAACAGUACGUGAAAUUGUUGAAAGGGAAGCGCUUGCAACCAGACUUGCAGGUCGUUGAUCAUCCGGGGUUCUCCCCGGUGCACUCGGCGGCCUUCAGGCCAGCAUCGGUUUGAGUGGUGGGAUAAAGGCCUUGGGAAUGUGGCUCCUCUCGGGGAGUGUUAUAGCCCAAGGUGCAAUGCCGCCUAUUCGGACCGAGGACCGCGCUUCGGCUAGGAUGCUGGCGUAAUGGUUGUAAGCGACCCGUCUUGA